CACUGGAUACCUUAUUUUAUCUUAUUCCUUUUCUAACCCUCACCUCACUUAAAGGUUAGAGUUAAAAGGCAAGGAUUAAGAGUAGCUGGUUGGUGGUCAGAAAGGCAAUGGAAGUGGUCGGACGGAAGACAGCGGUGGUCGGACCAGCACGCAACAGUCUCAUCUCUCACCAAUCUUUCUCCACUGCUCAAUAGGCACCAUUACCACUGAUGAUUUCUCAAUUCAUGUUUGUUCAGUCCCAUCAAGCUCUGAAGCUGAAUCAAACAAUAAUUUCACCGACCAUAUGAUAUAUUAGCAAUUCAAAUAAUCAUCUGCAAAUUCACCCGUGUUGAUAAAAAGCAGUGGAUAUGCAGAUGAAAGAGUUAUGAUGAAGCAGAAGAAGGAGAAAACAGAGCUAAAUUACAUGGCUUCUUCACCGUUAAAUAAAUAAAACAAUGGAAUAGAUGAUUUAGUGAAAAAUAUGGUGGAUUGUGAUUUACCUUUUGAAUUUGUUCUUAUUUUCCGUUGUUGUGUGUGGUGGUUUGCUUAUUAAGACAUAAGCUAGUACUUUUACUUGAUAUGUCCAUAUCAUUUGCUUUUGCUUUUUUUCUUAUCCAGUUGAGGUUUGGAAUUUUGACUUUGUGAUGUUGAAAUUACAUGAAACUGGUGAAAUAUCCUUAUAUUGUGAUUCGACCAAUUGGUCCAAAUGUCAUUUGAUGCAAUAAACAUUUUGUUAUGAUUGUUGUUAUGAUAGAGAUAUGUUGUAAGAUAUGUGUA